UGGGGAAUUUUCCGCAAUGGGCGCAAGCCUGACGGAGCAAGACCGCGUGGGGGAAGACGGUCUGUGGAUUGUAAACCCCUUUUGACCGGGAAGAAGAACUGACGGUACCGGUCGAAUCAGCCUCGGCUAACUCCGUGCCAGCAGCCGCGGUAAUACGGAGGAGGCAAGCGUUAUCCGGAAUUAUUGGGCGUAAAGCGUCCGCAGGUGGUUUAUCAAGUCAGCUGUUAAAGCGUGGUGCUCAACACCAUACCGGCAGUUGAAACUGAUAGGCUAGAGUGCGAUAGGGGCAAGGGGAAUUCCCAGUGUAGCGGUGAAAUGCGUAGAUAUUGGGAAGAACACCGGUGGCGAAAGCGCCUUGCUGGGUCUGCACUGACACUGAGGGACGAAAGCUAGGGGAGCGAAUGGGAUUAGAUACCCCAGUAGUCA
rnacentral:rRNA from 1 species